ensembl:rRNA 5S_rRNA 5S ribosomal RNA
UUUUGUGGCCAAACCUCCUUGUCAAAGCCUGAUCUCGUCAGAUUUCAGAAGCUAAGCAAGGCUGGGCCUGUUUAGUACUUUCAAGGAAGACCGCUGGGAACACCAGGUGCCACAGUGG